GAUGAACGCUAGCUACAGGCUUAACACAUGCAAGUCGAGGGGCAUCAGGAAGAAAGCUUGCUUUCUUUGCUGGCGACCGGCGCACGGGUGAGUAACACGUAUCCAACCUGCCCUUUACUCGGGGAUAGCCUUUCGAAAGAAAGAUUAAUACCCGAUAGUAUAAUGAUUCCGCAUGGUUUCAUUAUUAAAGGAUUCCGGUAAAGGAUGGGGAUGCGUUCCAUUAGGUUGUUGGUGAGGUAACGGCUCACCAAGCCUUCGAUGGAUAGGGGUUCUGAGAGGAAGGUCCCCCACAUUGGAACUGAGACACGGUCCAAACUCCUACGGGAGGCAGCAGUGAGGAAUAUUGGUCAAUGGGCGCUAGCCUGAACCAGCCAAGUAGCGUGAAGGAUGAAGGCUCUAUGGGUCGUAAACUUCUUUUAUAUAAGAAUAAAGUGCAGUAUGUAUACUGUUUUGUAUGUAUUAUAUGAAUAAGGAUCGGCUAACUCCGUGCCUGCAGCCGCGGUAAUACGGAGGAUCCGAGCGUUAUCCGGAUUUAUUGGGUUUAAAGGGAGCGUAGGUGGACUGGUAAGUCAGUUGUGAAAGUUUGCGGCUCAACCGUAAAAUUGCAGUUGAUACUGUCAGUCUUGAGUACAGUAGAGGUGGGCGGAAUUCGUGGUGUAGCGGUGAAAUGCUUAGAUAUCACGAAGAACUCCGAUUGCGAAGGCAGCCUGCUGGACUGUAACUGACGCUGAUGCUCGAAAGUGUGGGUAUCANACAGG
rnacentral:rRNA from 1 species